CCUACGGGAGGCAGCAGUGGGGAAUAUUGCGCAAUGGGCGAAAGCCUGACGCAGCGACGCCGCGUGAGGGAUGAAGGUCUUCGGAUCGUAAACCUCUGUCAGCAGGGAAGAACGGUUACUGUGCUAAUCCGCAGUGAAUUGCCGGUACCUGCAAAGGACGCACCGGCUAACUCCGUGCCAGCAGCCGCGGUAAUACGGAGGGUGCGAGCGUUAAUCGGAAUUACUGGGCGUAAAGCGCUCGUAGGCGGUAUGUCAAGUCAAGGGUGAAAUCCCCGCGCUCAACGUGGGAACUGCCUUUGAUACUGGCAGACUGGAGUGUGGGAGAGGAUAGUGGAAUUCCAGGUGUAGGAGUGAAAUCCGUAGAUAUCUGGAGGAACAUCAGUGGCGAAGGCGACUAUCUGGCACAUAACUGACGCUGAGGAGCGAAAGCGUGGGUAGCAAACAGGAUUAGAUACCCCAGUAGUC
rnacentral:rRNA from 1 species